UAUAGGAUGAAGGAGCUUCUUCUUGGAUGACUGAUCCCAAAUAAUCACCAUUUCAACACGUCAUUGACUGUACACCAUCAUCCAGCAAUAAACUUGUAUAUGUUUGUAGCAGUCUUGUAUCUCCAUCAUAGUCACAAUUAACCAAAUUAGGCAAUUCCAUAGGUCCGCUUGCCUGAGUUGUUACUAGCGAGCUUUCGGCCUCAUUCAUUGGAGGCCAAGGAUUGUUACAUGACUUCUUACUCGCUUGUGAACUUUCUUGUUCAAGAUUCAUCUUUCUCUUGCCCUGGACAACUUCACGGCAUCCACGAUUUCCAACCUCCUUUUCUUUCGCAACCUUUCAUUUCUUUGCAGAUUCUUUGACUUUGAUUUCUGGCACCCUCUUGGCCCCCUAUACCUGCAUUUUACUGAGAAGCUCCUGGAAUCAUUUGUUCUCACAAAGUGUGACACAAUUGCUGCUUGUAUUACGGAAAGGAUCCUGCAAAUGGCAUAUUGGCAGGCACUACACUUACGAAGUUAGCGCCAUGAAGAGGGAUAACCCUAUGCAAUUCCUCCCUGGUAUUCGUAGGAUUGAUCAUAUGGGUGAAUUACCCAAUCUGCAGGUAUUUUUGUUGUCAACUCCGCAAUCAAAGCACUAAGGGGAACUAAAGUUCCUAUCGAGUGGCACGAGCUGGUUUUGGGACACGGAUUUGUCCCUUGGUUUAGUUUUAUUUUAUGGUUGCUGUGCAAACGAAGAUUAAACACCAAAGGUAGAUUGAAAGCAUGGGUCUCUAGUAUUUGUGCCCUUUGUAUUUAUGCUGAUGAAACUAUGGAAUGCUAAAUAACUGCAGCUGUUUGGUGGCUCUGUAGACAAUGGAAAUCUGAUUCUUUUGCAC